UGAUUACUGCCAGACCUGCUCAAUCAUGAAAUCAUUUAAAUAGAACCUGUCUGACAAAGUGAAGUAGAGUAAAAGACCUUGAAAAGCAUCAUGGCAUGACCUAAAGGAACUGAAAAACAGUUCAGAAAUCAAACCACUGGCUAAAGCGUUGGAACUGCUGCCAUUGCUGAUUAGGCAUUUGUGUCAAUCAACAGCUGAAGAGGUGUACCUAAUGAAGGGGCUGACUUGGAUGGGACAGCCCUGAACCCAAAUGCACCACGGAUCACUUCAACCUGCAGCUGCGGACGCUCUACUGGACUUAAAACUGGCAUUAACAAAGCGACACUGGCAUGAGCAGGAAGACCGAGAGUAGAAGAGUAACUGCAGGGAAAAGUGCAACUAUUAAGUAUAAAUGAAUCUGGAAAGACCUUUUGAAAAUUAAGGUCACCCAUCAAUCACUUUGCACCAACAGCGCCUCUGUCUGCAGAAAACCUUGUCCUCCAGAGCUGUGGAGUGUGACAAUGGUGUUUGUUUCCUCUUCGUCAAACGCCAUUAUCACACUAAAUAGCUACAGUGUGAAAAGCCCCUCGACGUACCCCUUCACUUUUGGGUUUAAGUGUUGUGUUUGUGGUGUGUGGGUUUUCUUUUUUUCUUUUUCUAAAUUUUAAUCCUCUUAUUAAAUCUGUUGUACAAACUGUAAAGCAAGACUGUAUAUCAGCUGUGCCAAUGACUCUGUGCACACUACACCAGAGCAGGAGAUGGAAAUAGACAUUUGGUGUGUUUAUGCAUCAUAUGUGAUGCUGAGCCUCUGAGUGUGACCCACUUUCUUUUUGGAUUCAAGGUGCUAAUUUGCUGCUGGAGACCUUAAAACAGACCUUGGUUUACUACUACUGAUGCCAGCUUUGUAAAUGUAAAGCUUAUUGCACAUUUGUCUCUGUUUACCAUAAAUAAAGUGCUUUUGAUCUGUU